rnacentral:lncRNA from 1 species
ACCACCUGUAAAUCUUCGUCCAGGCAAUGGACUUGAAGAUGCUCGAUAAGGUCAGGAGGAAGUUCCACCUGGGUAAUGGACUUGCACUUCUCGAAGCCCAUGAAGAACACCACUUUGCAAUCUUGGGUUAUGAUCUUAGCCCCUUCUUUCUCUAACUGUUUUCUCCUGCUUUCAGCACGUUUGAGUAAAAUUCCUCGAUAUAUAAAUUUGCCCCAG